GCGGGAGGGUUUAUUAUCAUUUCAUCUACUUCUAAGCAGGCUGAGGAGGUAGGUGUCCCUGGCAUUCCUUUUGUGAUGCAACUGAGGUGAAUGCCUUGUUGGGGUCACACAGCCAGUGUGUGAUGAGCCACUAGGAGCCAGGUCUCUCUGAGGUUGGCCACUGUGAUAUCUCCCCUUGAAGAGAUAUCUCCUCCUUCUCAGACCCUUCCAGAGCUUUAGGAACAGAACCAUCUUUCUCAGAGAAGAGAGAUGGCGUCUUCCCUUCCUGCCUCGCCCAUGCCCAAAAGAUUCGCAGACUUUGGGCUCUUUACUCACUAAGCACCCAGCUCCUGGCCUUCACUAGGAUAUGUCCAUGUGCAUGUGAACUUUUCUCCACAAACUUCAAGUCCAUCUGGGGCUCUUUUCCCCAAGGAUAACCUGACAGCCAUAAAAAUUCUGACGUAAUCUCAGUAUCACUGGGAAAACACACGUAUAUCUGUGUGCACACGAGUAUGAGUGCACAUUCACAAUGUAUUGAGGGCAGAGAAAAGAAGCAAUCAGCGCACAUAUCAGAGAACUGCGUGUCCAAAGGAGAAGAAAAUGCGACUGAAACUUCCAAC
rnacentral:lncRNA from 1 species